GAUGAACGCUAGCUACAGGCUUAACACAUGCAAGUCGAGGGGAAACGGGAGGAUAGCUUGCUAUCUUCGCCGUCGACCGGCGCACGGGUGAGUAACGCGUAUCCAACCCGCCAUCCAGCGGAGGAUAGCCUUUCGAAAGAAAGGAUAAUACUCCAUGACCUCCUCAGAGGACAUCUGACGAGGAGCAAAGAUUUAUAGCUGGUUGAUGGGAUGCGUCUGAUUAGGCAGUUGGCGGGGUAACGGCCCACCAAACCGACGAUCAGUAGGGGUUCUGAGAGUAAGGUCCCCCACAUUGGAACUGAGACACGGUCCAAACUCCUACGGGAGGCAGCAGUGAGGAAUAUUGGUCAAUGGACGUAAGUCUGAACCAGCCAAGUAGCGUGCAGGAUGACGGCCCUAUGGGUUGUAAACUGCUUUUAUGCGGGGGUAAAGUGAGUGACGUGUCAUUCAUUGCAAGUACCGCAAGAAUAAGGACCGGCUAAUUCCGUGCCAGCCGCCGCGGUAA
rnacentral:rRNA from 1 species